GAUGAACGCUGGCGGCGUGCCUAAUACAUGCAAGUCGAACGCAUUGAGAGAAGUGCUUGCACUUUUCAAUUUAAGUGGCGAACGGGUGAGUAACACGUGGGCAACCUACCUGAUAGCGGGGGAUAACGAGUGGAAACAUUCGCUAAUACCGCAUAACAAUAGAGAAGGCAUCUUCUUUAUUUAAAAGGCGCUUUCAAGCGUCACUAUCAGAUGGGCCCGCGGUGCAUUAGUUAGUUGGUGGGGUGAAGGCCUACCAAGACGAUGAUGCAUAGCCGGGUUGAGAGACUGAUCGGCCACAUUGGGACUGAGACACGGCCCAAACUCCUACGGGAGGCUGCAGUAGGGAAUCUUCCACAAUGGACGAAAGUCUGAUGGAGCAACGCCGCGUGUGUGAUGAAGGCUUUCGGGUCGUAAAGCACUGUUGUAUGGGAAGAAAUGCUAGGCUAGGAAAUGAGCUUAGUUUGACGGUACCAUACCAGAAAGGGACGGCUAAAUACGUGCCAGCAGCCGCCGUAA
rnacentral:rRNA from 1 species